GGGCGGUUAGCUCAGCUGGGAGAGCGCAGCGUUCGCAACGCUGAGGUCGUGGGUUCGAUCCCCAUACCGUCCACCA
rnacentral:tRNA from 1 species